UGGAUGAGUGGCGAACGGGUGAGUAACACGUGAGUAACCUGCCCCCUUCUUUGGGAUAACGCCCGGAAACGGGUGCUAAUACUGGAUAUUCACUGGCCUUCGCAUGGGGGUUGGUGGAAAGGUUUGUUCUGGUGGGGGAUGGGCUCGCGGCCUAUCAGCUUGUUGGUGGGGUGAUGGCCUACCAAGGCUUUGACGGGUAGCCGGCCUGAGAGGGUGACCGGUCACAUUGGGACUGAGAUACGGCCCAG
rnacentral:rRNA from 1 species